rnacentral:rRNA from 1 species
UACGUAGGCAGCAAGCGUUGUUCGGAGUUACUGGGCGUAAAGGGUGCGUAGGUGGCUCUAUAAGUAUGGUGUGAAAUCUCCCGGCUUAACUGGGAGGGUGCGCCGUAGACUGUGGGGCUAGAGUGUGGGAGAGGAAAGUGGAAUUCCUGGUGUAGCGGUGAAAUGCGUAGAUAUCAGGAGGAACACCGGUGGUGAAAACGGCUUUCUGGACCAUAACUGACGCUGAGGCACGAAAGCGAGGGUAGCAAACAGG